CUGUUCGCCAUUUAAAGUGGUACGCGAGCUGGGUUUAGAACGUCGUGAGACAGUUCGGUCCCUAUCUGCCGUGGGCGCUGGAGAAUUGAGGGGGGCUGCUCCUAGUACGAGAGGACCGGAGUGGACGCAUCACUGGUGUUCGGGUUGUCAUGCCAAUGGCACUGCCCGGUAGCUAAAUGCGGAAGAGAUAAGUGCUGAAAGCAUCUAAGCACGAAACUUGCCCCGAGAUGAGUUCUCCCUGAGACUUUAAGUCUCCUGAAGGAACGUUGAAGACGACGACGUUGAUAGGCCGGGUGUGUAAGCGCAGCGAUGCGUUGAGCUAACCGGUACUAAUGAACCGUGAGGCUUAACCUUACAACGCCGAAG
rnacentral:rRNA from 1 species